rnacentral:lncRNA from 13 species
AGGCUGGCUUAUUUGAUUGUGGAAGCUGUCCAUCUGAACUCUGCAGAGCAGGCUGGCAGCCUGGAGACCCAGGGUAAGUUGAUGCUUCAGUCCUGAGUCUGAAGGCAGGUGCUGCCUGAACUCCCUCUUCUGAGGAAGAGGUCAGCCUUGGUCCUCUGCAGGCCUGCACCUGAUUGGAUGAGGCCCACAUCAGGAGUGUCAUCAGCUCCACUCACAGUCCACUGAUUUCAAUUUUGAUCUCAUCUAGAAAACACCAUCACAGAAACAUCUAGGGUGGUGCUUGACCAAGCUGGGCAUCAGAGCCCAUGGCUAAGUUGGUACAUAAAAUGAACUGCCCUGCGUGGUAACUGAGAGGGUUUUCACGAUGGGGGUCCAGGCCACAUGAGUGUGUUUGUGGGUGAAGGGGCAGAGCCCAGGGAAUGAGUAGAAGAGUGAGAAUCAGGAGGCAUGAUUCCAGCCCCGGCUCUGACCUUAGUGGAGGAGAGGGAAGCUGAGGCAGGUCUGCAGAGGCCAAGGAGAGGGCCAUGGCGGUGGCAUUGGUGAUGCCCCAAGGGGAAGGGCAGGCAGGGCUGCCAGAUGGUGGGGUGCCCAGGAAGGGACUCCUGGAGGCUGGGGCACCAGGCAUCGUGGGAAGGCUAGAUAUCUUCUUGAGUGGAGAUAACUCAGGAGCUCUAGCCAAACAGGAAAUGCCUUAAAAUAGCCAGCCAGUGCCUGACAUGCCAGUGGCAGAGCUCAAGCAGGGCUCCCUGUCCCCCUUCAGCCACCAUUUGUAUCUCAGGGUCUUAUUACCCACGGUCUGGCUGCUGGGUGGAUGGACUAGAGGCAGUGGCCUGCAUGCUGCUGGCAGGUGCUGGGUGUGGGCUUGUUGGUCAUUGACCACGCUAAGAGGUGGCUCUUUAGGCACAGCAACCCUGGAGCAGGGAGGACGAGAGGAUGGGAGAGAAAGAAGAUGGCUAGCUUGACCCUGGGGCCAGCAUGGGCUCUGCUUUCUCUUCUAUGCCUGGAGAAGGAGAAGGAGAGGCAGCGCCAGCGUAGGCUCUGCAGAGAAGCUCCUUUCCUCGUCAGUACCAAUUCUAAAAUAAAUCGGAGUCACUUAGAAGCCAAGCUGGAAGCACAUCCAACCUGCUGGGACCCACCACCCGGGAGCAAGGCUCUUAAAUCAAUUUGGAAAUCGUUUCCGUGUAAUAUGAAUGGACUCGGUGAAGCCCAGUGUCCCGCCUUCACAUUUCCUGACAAGCCUCAGCAUGGACACUGCCUCCUAAUGGCAUUCAUGCGUCUCACGGCCUCCACUGCCCCGGGCUGCAGCCACGGCGUUGAUGACUUAUCCACCUUGUCCUGAGGUAUGAGCCUCACUAGUCAUCAGCUGCAUCACGUAACUUCCUCUUCUUUUCCGACAACUGCCCUAAAUAUAAUUAGGCAAAGCUAAGUAGGUUCUAUGUUUUCCUCCCACCAAAUGCAAGUGUCUGAAAUCGUUUUCCAUAGAAGUCUAGACAGCAUGCUGCAGGCACUAUUUUGCGGGAUGCUUUCGGGGUUUGGAGCCCACCUGUGCUCAGAGCAGAAUCCAAAAGGUGGCUGUGCUAGAGGCUCAGAUGUCGGACUGAGAGUCACAGGCUCAGUGGACAAGGGGUGCCUGCUCUUGGGGAGAGCUCCAUCCAGCAGGGGAGUCAGAUACAGAUGAUUAAAGAGGCUUCUAGUUACAUAACACUGUGCAGCCUUGCAGGUACCUAAGAACCCGGGCUCUAUCCCAGGUGAUGGGAGAAGCCACCGAGAUUUUUGGGAGGAGGGCAGAUUAUGGGGUGUUUGUUGUUGCUGGUGACACAGUUGGGUUUGUGGAGAAGGAAUUGGAGGAGGCAGGCAGGAGGGAGCUGGCUUUUUCAGCAUUGCUUGCAGAAAUUGAAGCCUGAGUCAGGGCAGCUCCACUGGAGGUGUGGAGGGGCUGUGGAGGGCCGGGCUGGGCGUGGCAGUGCUGAGGACACGAGGUGGCAGGUCUCAUGCUUGGCUGAACAGGGAGGGGACCAUGUGUCACCGAUUCCUUCAGUUUUCUCCUGGCCCCAGGCUUUGAGUUACAAACAAAGAUCCAGGCCCCCGGCACCCUCUCUAGCCUGCUCCACCAAGACGGUGCACAUGGGGAUACUCUGCUAACUUUACAGCGGACGGAUUUGAGGACCUCAGUCUUUCCUUAGG